rnacentral:rRNA from 1 species
AGAGUUUGUUCCUGGCUCAGAACGAACGCUGGCGGCAUGCCUAAUACAUGCAAGUCGAACGAGAUCUUCGGAUCUAGUGUCGCACGGGUGCGUAACGCGUGGGAAUCUGCCCUUUGGUUCGGAAUAACUUCUGGAAACGGAAGCUAAUACCGGAUGAUGACGUAAGUCCAAAGAUUUAUCGCCCAAGGAUGAGCCCGCGUAGGAUUAGCUAGUUGGUGGGGUAAAGGCCCACCAAGGCGACGAUCCUUAGCUGGUCUGAGAGGAUGAUCAGCCACACUGGGACUGAGACACGGCCCAGACUCCUACGGGAGGCAGCAGUAGGGAAUAUUGGACAAUGGGGGCAACCCUGAUCCAGCAAUGCCGCGUGAGUGAUGAAGGCCUUAGGGUUGUAAAGCUCUUUUACCCGGGAUGGUAAUGACAGUACCGGGAGAAUAAGCUCCGGCUAACUCCGUGCCAGCAGCCGCGGUAAUACGGAGGGAGCUAGCGUUGUUCGGAAUUACUGGGCGUAAAGCGCACGUAGGCGGCUAUUCAAGUCAGAGGUGAAAGCCCGGGGCUCAACCCCGGAACUGCCUUUGAAACUAGAUAGCUAGAAUUCAGGAGAGGUGAGUGGAAUUCCGAGUGUAGAGGUGAAAUUCGUAGAUAUUCGGAAGAACACCAGUGGCGAAGGCGGCUCACUGGACUGGUAUUGACGCUGAGGUGCGAAAGCGUGGAGAGCAAACAGGAUUAGAUACCCUGGUAGUCCACGCCGCAAACGAUGAAUACUAAGUGUUGGAGAAAAUCAGUGCUGCAGUUAACGCAAUAAGUAUUCCGCCUGGGGAGUAUGCACGCGAGUGUGAAACUCAAAGGAAUUGACGGGACCCCGCACAAGCGGUGGAUUAUGUUGUUUAAUUCGACGCAACGCGAAGAACCUUACCAGGCCUUGACAUACUCAGCAAAGCCCUAGAGAUAGGGUGGAGGUUAUCUGGGAUACAGGUGGUGCAUGGUUGUCGUCAGCUCGUGUCGUGAGAUGUUGGGUUAAGUCCCGCAACGAGCGCAACCCUCGUCUUUAGUUACCAUCAUUCAGUUGGGGACUCUAGAGAGACUGCCGGUGAUAAACCGGAGGAAGGUGGGGAGGACGUCAAAUCAUCAUGCCCCCUAUGGCCUGGGCUACAAACGUAAUACAAUGGCGUAUACAAAGGGAUGCGAAAGGGCGACCUGGAGCAAAACUCAUAAAGUACGUCUCAGUUCAGAUUGGAGUCUGCAACUCGACUCCACGAAGGCGGAAUCGCUAGUAAUCGCGGAUCAGCAUGCCGCGGUGAAUAAAAUCUCGGGGUUUGCACACACCGCCCGUCAAG